GAUUAACGCUAGCGGCAGGCCUAAUACAUGCAAGUCGAACGGCAGCGGGUCCAGCAAUGGAUGCCGGCGAGUGGCGCACGGGUGCGUAACGCGUAUACAAUCUACCUUUAACUGGGGAAUAGCCCCGAGAAAUCGGGAUUAAUACCCCAUAAUAUUGAGAGGUGGCAUCACUUUUCAAUUAAAGCUCCGGCGGUUUUAGAUGAGUAUGCGUGACAUUAGCUAGUUGGUGAGGUAACGGCUCACCAAGGCGACGAUGUCUAGGGGUUCUGAGAGGAUUUUCCCCCACACUGGUACUGAGACACGGACCAGACUCCUACGGGAGGCAGCAGUAAGGAAUAUUGGGCAAUGGGCGCAAGCCUGACCCAGCCAUGCCGCGUGAAGGAUGACAGCCCUAUGGGUUGUAAACUUCUUUUGUACGGGAAAAAACCCCCGGUCGCGAACCGGGGCUGAUGGUACCGUAAGAAUAAGCAUCGGCUAACUCCGUGCCAGCAGCCGCAGUAACAC
rnacentral:rRNA from 1 species